rnacentral:rRNA from 1 species
CAGUAGCCGCGGUAAUACGAAGGGGGCUAGCGUUGCUCGGAAUCACUGGGCGUAAAGGGUGCGUAGGCGGGUUUCUAAGUCAGGGGUGAAAUCCUGGAGCUCAUCUCCAGAACUGCCCUUGAUACUGGAAGUCUUGAAUAUGGGAGAGGUGAGUGGAACUGCGAGUGUAGAGGUGAAAUUCGUAGAUAUUCGCAAGAACACCAGUGGCGAAGGCGGCUCACUGGCCCAUAACUGACGCUGAGGCACGAAAGCGUGGGGAGCAAACAGGAUUAGAUACCCGCGUAGUCCCUGUCUCUUAUAC